AUUGAACGCUGGCGGAAUGCUUUACACAUGCAAGUCGAGCGGCAGCGCGGCCUUCGGGCUGGCGGCGAGCGGCGAACGGGUGAGUAAUGCAUCGGAACAUGCCCAGUCGUGGGGGAUAACACUUCGAAAGAAGUGCUAAUACCGCAUACGUCCUGCGGGGGAAAGCGGGGGAUCGCAAGACCUCGCGCGAUUGGAGUGGCCGAUGUCAGAUUAGCUAGUUGGUGGGGUAAAGGCCUACCAAGGCGACGAUCUGUAGCUGGUCUGAGAGGAUGAUCAGCCACACUGGGACUGAGACACGGCCCAGACUCCUACGGGAGGCAGCAGUGGGGAAUUUUGGACAAUGGGGGCAACCCUGAUCCAGCCAUUCCGCGUGAGUGAAGAAGGCCUUCGGGUUGUAAAGCUCUUUCGGCAGGAACGAAACGGUGGGCUCUAACAUAGUCCGCUAAUGACGGUACCUGAAGAAGAAGCACCGGCUAACUACGUG
rnacentral:rRNA from 1 species